UGGAAUAUGAAUGAAAUUAGUAUUGCGCCAAUUCUGAAUGUAGUCCUUACAAAGCCAAACACUUUGGCUUUCCCUGUUGCACCUCUGUCAUUUCAAGAAAAGAACAUGCUUCUUCUAGCCUGCUAGUCCAGAAAGAUGAGAGACACAUAAAGCAGAACCACAGGGUUGAUUGCUGACUUUCAAUUUUAAAGCUGUCCAGGUGAUUUUAUCUAGUCCAUCCAACCUCCAGUUUAUGGAUGCCUGAAUAAGCCCAGCCAAGAUCAGUGGAGCCAUUUCAGCCAACCUACAGACAUGCAACUAUGGAUUUGCACGGUCUGGAUCUCCCUCCAGAAAAAUCUGCUGCAGAGAGCAUAGUUGAUUGAGUUUCCAGAACACCUGUGUUCCUCCUAGCAGCCACACCAACGCCAUGCUUUCCCUAGGCUGCUGCCAGCAAUAAUGAAGAGUGGUGGCCUACUAGAGCCAGCUCAUUUCUGUCUGACAUUGAACUCCUUCAAGGAAAGGUUUUCUGAAGACUCUUCAUGAUCCUAGCCUAGAUCUUCAAUUACACUUCAAUCUGAA